rnacentral:tRNA from 5 species
GGGCGAGUGUUGGAAUGGAAGACAAGACGGGCUUAAAACCCGUUGGGUGUAUAACCCGUGAGGGUUCGACUCCCUCCUCGCCCA